rnacentral:rRNA from 1 species
ACUUACAUCUACAAACGCCGGGGAAUUACGAGCUACGCUUAAAACCCAAAGGAUUUGACGGUGUCCCACCCCCCUAGAGGAGCCUGUUCUAUAAUCGAUAAUACCCGCUAUACCCAACCACCUCUCGCUAUUCAGUCUGUAUACCUCCGUCGAAAGCUUACCAUGUGAACGCCUACAGUAAGUACAAUGGCUACCAACGUCAACACGUCAGGUCAAGGUGCAGCUUAAGUGGUGGAAAGUAAUUGGCUACAAUUUCUAACCUAGAACAAACGGAAGGCUAUGUGAAACCAUAGCUCUGAAGGCGGAUUUAGUAGUAAAAAGAAAAUAGAGCGUUCUUUUUAACCCGGCUCUGGGACGCGUACACACCGCCCGUCAC